AAAAGGCCUGAGAAUAUACAGCAGACCCUGGCUGGUCACGCCACUACACGCCAUCAGAACACAGGAGCCAUACUGGCCGCCCUGCUCAGCCUCAGCCUCUGCAUUCAGCCACCUGGUCCUGUGGGUCCUACCACGUGGACGCUCUCUGACACCUGCCCUUCUGCAUUCCUGCUGCCCCUGCCUAUGUGCAAACAUUCAUCUCUUUUCUGUUUUAUUGCUACAGUUGCCCAACAGCUCUUUCUACCUACGUUCUCACCUUCCCCCUCCUCCCUAUUCUACUCCAUUGCCAGAGUUACAUGGCUGGAGAAAGAACCUCAAAUGUAGAGUGGCAUGAAUCUCACUCCUCAGUUCAUGACUGCCAUCAUCAUCAUCACCAUCAUCAAACGUGUCCUUUGAUUUUUUUUACCUGAUUUCCUCUAUCAUUCUAACCACCCUUCCUUCCCACACACAUAAGCUAUAGCCACUUCAAUGUGUUUAAUAAAUGUCCUUAGAUAUGGAUGGAUCCGCGAAGAA
rnacentral:lncRNA from 10 species